CUGUGAAUAUUCUCACUGUUCUAAUUUUGUAAUAAUCAAGACAGGSUAAACAUUUACUACAUUAAGACCAUAUGUCCCAAGACCUAAUUCUUUCCUCAGGUCUGGUCUUAUAAAUGCUGGUGAUAUUC
ensembl:snoRNA SNORA72 Small nucleolar RNA SNORA72